AUGUGUGCAACAAGACUAUUAAACAUCACUGCCAGUCCGGGGAGAGAUGCAUUGCUGACUAUUUCGAUUUAUAUCUGGAUUCUCUCGGACGCCAAGGAACAUUCUAUCGGAGACCACUACCCGCAACAUCUGAUGUGCCGAUCCGAUGAAUCCACUCCUAAUAUUUCCGAGUGUUCCGUUUUUCCGGAAACAUCAGCAACUGUCCAUAGCGAAGAGGAGCCCAUGAGCAAGAGGCCUAGACUCCCAUUUGGAGAAUUUAAAAACUGCAACAUUACGUUUCAGUUUUAA
rnacentral:sRNA from 1 species